rnacentral:rRNA from 1 species
AAAUUGAAGAGUUUGAUCAUGGCUCAGAUUGAACGCUGGCGGCAGGCCUAACACAUGCAAGUCGAACGGUAACAGGAAGCGCUUGCUGCUUCGCUGACGAGUGGCGGACGGGUGAGUAAUGUCUGGGAAACUGCCUGAUGGAGGGGGAUAACUACUGGAAACGGUAGCUAAUACCGCAUAACGUCGCAAGACCAAAGAGGGGGACCUUCGGGCCUCUUGCCAUCGGAUGUGCCCAGAUGGGAUUAGCUUGUUGGUGGGGUAACGGCUCACCAAGGCGACGAUCCCUAGCUGGUCUGAGAGGAUGAC